rnacentral:rRNA from 1 species
UACAGAGGGUGCAAGCGUUGUUCGGAAUUAUUGGGCGUAAAGCGCGUGUAGGCGGCAUGGCAAGUCGGGUGUGAAAGCCCUCAGCUUAACUGAGGAAGUGCGCCCGAAACUGUUUUGCUUGAGUGCUGGAGAGGGUCGCGGAAUUCCCCAAGUAGAGGUGAAAUUCGUAGAUAUGGGGAGGAACACCGGUGGCGAAGGCGGCGACCUGGACAGUAACUGACGCUGAGGAGCGAAAGCGUGGGGAGCGAACAGG